CUUGGUACAUGUGGUUUCUAAUAAGUCAGCUUUUGGUGAGACCUAUGGAUUUGCACGUCUACCACGUUCCUGGGAUGCUGACACUGCGGUCUGGAGACUUCAGGAGCUGCUGGGCUACAGAAUGGAAACAGAGAUUAACAUCUGCAUCUUAGUUUAUUUUAGCUGAAUCCCACGGUCAUUGCAUGAGGACCACUAGAGAUCAAAUGGAGGACUUCAUGCAUGCUGAUCAGGAAUUUUCGAACUGAGCUACACUCCUCAGUGGUACUGGAUCAUACAGUUUACAUGAGCAGACUUUACAACGUGAAAAUCAUAUCUGAAUAAAGUUGUUAAAGAGACAACAAGAAAAACUGACAGAUGGUAGGAACCUAGCAUAACUGCAUCCUGAGAGGUUUCGUUCAUCCAGCAGCUGAUGGAAACAUAUGCAGAGACACAUAGCCAAAUAUCCAGCAGAGCUUGAGAAGUCCUAUGGAAAUGGGGAAGAAAGGAUUGAAGGAGCCAGAGAGGUCAAGGACACCACAAGGAAAUCCACAGAACCAACUAACCUUGGUGAAUAGGAGUUCAUAGAGACUGAACCACCAAAGAGCAUGCAUGGGACAGACCUGGGCCCUCUGCACAUAGGUAACAGCUGUGCAGCUUCAUCUUCAUAUGGGACUCAUAACAGCAGGAGCAGGGGCUGU
rnacentral:lncRNA from 1 species